UUCUGGGUUGGAUCCCAGCUUUUUCCCAGACUCCCUGUGUCUCCCUCUGCACAUCCCCUCAACUCUGUAUGUCCCAUCUGUUUUCUGCAAUAUGCAGGUAACUAUUGCCUUUGUAAUCUUGUCUACUGAAAUAGAAAUUUGGGGGUAAGGCCUCUUUGCACAGGGCCUAAUACAAGGAGAAUCUGAUGUCUGAUGGCACAAGGUACUACUGGAACGUAAAGGUAACCCUCCUGAAACAAGCACUCAGGUAUGCCGAUUGGACUGGAUGAAAUGGUUUCGUAGGAAAUGCUGCUCUUUUGAAAAUAUUUGCUGCAUGCUGAGAAGUAAACCUGUUGGAAAAGAAACAACCCUGGGCGAUAGAGUCUGCGCAGGAAACGCGGGUCAUUCAGUCACGCCAAGAAAAUGCUGCCUCCUGGGGAUUCUUCAGCCAGUUUAAGGCUCUGUACAGUGGAAAAACUCGAGGGGAAUCCAAGGCACUUCUGCACGGAGAGACCAAUCACCAGGACGGAAAGGCAAAGAACACAUCAGGGGGAUGGCCUCGUUUGACAGCCAGCCGGGAGGGGAACGCCAGCGCUAAUUCAUCACAACCAUUAAUUGGCCUGGUAUGACCUCUGAAAGUUGUGUUCUUCUCCGCUAUCACAGAAUCACAGAAUGGCAAGGAAGGGACCUCGGGAGAUCAUCUAGUCCAACCCUAUCUCUGUGGCCUGCAGAAGUGAAGGUGCCCACGUUUUUAGGAAGUGGAAGUCUCGACGCCUUUAGAAAGUUGCUGCUGCACGACGCAUCCGUCGGUCAGUCUCGAGCAUCUGUGGCACAAUCAACAAGUGAAUCCAAAUCAGCAAACUUCCUCCCAAUUACAAGGUAAUUGGUGGCAUCCUGGCCUUUCAGGCACCAGACUGUUCCUCAUAAAACAUUCAAAAGCCUCGCAGUUACCCGAAGAGGAACACGGGGAGGGAGGUAUUUUUCCACCCGAUGGAGGUGGCCUGUAAUUGCUGUAGGCAUAUCCUGACUUUGUCUGCAUUGCUCAUCGCUGCUAUGUCUAAGGAUUCCUUGAUAUUCAGAGUGCCCAAACCAAGGCAGGUUUUCAUAAUAUGAUUACAUUGUGAAAUUAUAUUUCACGCCUGUAUAUUACAGCGUGCGUGCAUGUACUUUCAUCGUGUGUCAGAGUGGAGUUUGCUCUUCUCUGAUACCGCGCACAAGAGGAUGUCUACAAAUUGAAUUUUUUCGGGAUAGUCAUCCUAAAUAACCCCAUGUGGGGAAACCUGUAUGGUAGCACAAAAGCACCUUGCUCUCCUUUAUCAUAAUCCAUUUUAAACAUGGAUUAUGCUGAUGCAGAACAGGGCGCUCCUAUUUGGGAAUAAUUUUAAAUGGGAAUAGUUCUUGUGCUUUCGGCUCACACCCUGCAUUAUCCAAAACAGCUUUGAAGUGUAAACAAGCUUCUAACGCGUCUCUAGUAUUUCCAUUCUGCUCCUUGGCUCCUCCUUGUUCCCUACCUCUUCCUUUGGGAAGGUUCAGAGCAAAACCAGACCUGCAGAGCCUGUCAUUUAGGUCUUUGCUUUCACCAACUUCAUACCAAGGGACAUUUCCAAUCCGAUUCCAAAUGUAAAUGCAUCCCUAAGCUUUUGAAGGGAGCGUUUAGAUGCAAGUUGCUGACUCGGAGCCAUCCCCACAAAUUAUAUUAGUGCAUAAAAUGUUUCCUUUCGCACUUUUCGGAAAGGGAGAAGGGUUUGUGUUUCUAACCUCCUGUAGUCCCUUUUGGCACAGUUUGGGUUUUUUUUCUCUAUUAUCACCAGCCUACUCUGCAAGCUCCAGGCAAAAACCGAUGGGUACAGCUCUGAGAAAGGCCCAACGGGUGCUGUAAUGACUCGGACCCGUACCCAUCUGCCUCCUCUCCAGCUGUGACGAGCAAUGGAUACGUAGGGAAGCCUGCAAACACGCGCUCUGAGAUCAUCCCUCUUCCAUUGAGUCAAAAGCCAUUUACACAUCUGCUUCCGUGAAGCGCCACGGCUCCUUACCUGGCUUCUGUUCAGUUAUUUGAACCUGACUAUUUUAUCUGGUGUCCUGCCUCUAGUUUUACUGUCGUUAGUCCCUGUUUGUAUUCUUCUAUACCAUGGUUUUCCAUGCCCCUCUCACAUGCCGCUCGUGCCCUUUAUGGGUGCUGCAGCUCUAAUCCCUUGGUCUUCCCUCGCACAGAAGUCGGCUCCCACCUGAGAUCUCCCUGGCUGCUUUUCUCCAUGGCUUUACCAGUUUCUCUGGCCAGAUCUGCAGGUGGCAUUCAAGAUGGAACAAUACCAUGCAAGCACAUGUAUGUCAGGCAGGAUAAUCUGUUUUCUGGUUUGUUAAUCCUUUUUUUAACCAUUCCCAUUAUUUCGUUUGUAUUUCCAGCCUCCUGUGGGGACGAGCUGGCUGGUUCCAGAGUCCUGUCCUUAACAAGGAUACAAACAUAGCAGCUAAUUUAGAGAGCUCCAUUGCAUAUACAUCAGUCGGGUUAUUUUAUCUGCUAAUUUAUCGCUGCUUGUCUUGAUACCAUGAGGUCCUUCUGCAGCUCUUCACAGGCAGGUUUAGAUUUCCCUGUCCUGAGUAGUUCUGAAACAUCUGCAGCUGCAUCGUUGCCCUGUUCAUCUCCAGCACCAGCGGCCGGCGCGGCUGCGAUGGCUCCUGAGAUCAGGGCAUCAACGCCAGCUCCUGUCAUUCUCUGCGCUCCCUGUUUGUGACUGCACAGAUCAGUCAGACGUCGGCCGUGACACUGCAGGAUAUUGUCCCUUAAAACUAUGUCAUAUUUCAAGAUCCAACCACAGAGGCGGAAGGAUCCGUGUUCACAAAGA